rfam:Ictidomys tridecemlineatus contig037378, whole genome shotgun sequence.
GGGGUUGUGGCUCAGUGGAAGAGCGCUCGCCUGGAAUGUGUGGGGCCCUGGGUUCGAUCCUCAGCACCA